AUGGAGGUCCGUCAGUACUGCACUGCAAGAAUAGCAAAUUUUGGGAUCUCUGCUGGCCAGUUUGUGGCAGUGGUCUGGGAUAAGGCAUCCUCAGUGGAGGCUCUGAAACAUCUGGUGGAUAAGCUUCAAGUGUUAACUGGCAAUGAGGGCCGCAGGUCUGUGGAAAACAUCAACCAGCUGUUGCAGUCUGCUCACAAAGAAUCCAGCUUUGACAUUAUUUUGUCGGGUUUAGUCCUGGGAAGCACCACUCUGCACAGUGCUGAGAUUUUGACUGAAAUCGCCCGGAUCCUUCAGCCUGGUGAAUGUCUUUUUCUGAAAGAGCCAGUAGAGACAGCUGUGGAUAACAAUAGCAAAGUGAAGACAGCAUCUAAGCUGUGUUCAGCCCUGACUCUUUCUGGUCUUAUGGAAGUGAAAGAGCUGCAGUAGGAGCCCCUAACCCCUGAGGAAGUACUGUCUGUUUGAGAAUAUCUUGGUCAUGAAAGUGACCGCCUGCUGUUUGUUCAGAUCACAGGCAAAAAACCAAACUUUGAAGUGAGUUCUUCUAGUCAGCUUAAGCUUUCCAUCACCAAGAAGUCUUCUCCUUCAGUGAAGCCUGCUGUGGACCCUGCUGCUGCCAAGCUGUGGACCCUCUCAGCCAACGAUAUGGAGGACGACAGCAUGGAUCUCAUUGACUCAGAUGAGCUGCUGGAUCCAAAAGAUUUGAAGAAGCCAGAUCUGGCUUCCCUGUGGGCUGCUUCUUGUGGAGAAGGAAAAAAGAGGAAGGCCUGCAAGAACUGCACCUGGGGCCUUGCUGAAGAACUGGAAAAAGAGAAGUCGAGGGAACAGAUAAGCUCCCAACCCAAGUCGGCUUGUUGAAACUGCUACCUGGGCGAUGCCUUCCGCUGUGCCAGCUGCCCCUACCUUGGGAUGCCAGGCUUCAAACCCGGGGAAAAGAUGCUUCUGAGUGAUAGCAAUCUUCAUGAUGCCGAGGAGGGACUUGACAUGGGACUCAUCUGCUCCUCCAGCCAACUCCUGUCCCUCACAUCCCACCACGGUGGCUCCUCCCACCUCCUCUGGAUUUGUUCACUCUGAGAUCCAUUUGCAGAGUGGGUGCUUAGCAGACAGAGUGAAGCUGGCUGGGUGGACGCAGUGGUGUGUAGUGCUGCUGUGUAUCAAAAGACCAAGGUAUUAUGGGGCCCAGUUACUCAGAAUGGGAUGGGUUUCUUCACCUCAUGUUAAGAGAAGGAAGUGUGUCCUGAAGAAGCCUUUCUUCUGAUUUAAAAUGCUGACCAGAACACUCUUGAGCCCAGGCAUCCUUGAGCAUUUACACUCUGUGACAGAGCUCCAGACCCCUGCCCCAAGUCUCAUCUCAGCAAUGCUGCCACCUGCUUGUCUUUCAGAGUUGUUAGUUUAUUCCAUUCUUUGUGACACAAGCCAAGUGUCUCACCACCUCCUCAGGGCACCAGAGGACUCACUCACUGGUUGCUGUGAUGAUAUCCAGUGUCCCUCUGCUCCCUUCCACCCCCAACCACAUUUUACUGUAGCAUUGCAUCUGUGUCCUGUUGUCAUUUCUAUUAACCUUCAGGUAUUAAACUUGCUGCAUAUCUUGA